rnacentral:tRNA from 1 species
GCACGAGUGGCGGAAUUGGCAGACGCACCGGAUUUAGGUUCCGGCGGGGCAACCCGUGGAGGUUCAAGUCCUCUCUCGUGCA